GCCCUUAUAGAAGACAAAUGAAUAAUUUCAUUAGGAUUGGGAUUUUUUCUGGAUUGAGUUUUGAAUUUCAAAAUAGAUCACGUGAGUUUAGGUGACGAAACCGAGGUGAAAAAUAAAUUUAGUUAUUUAUUUCCUGCAACAAAAAAUUUUCUGCAGCACAAAAGGAAAGUGAAAGGUUAAUUUUUUUAUUUACGAGGUUCACUUUUCAUAGCGAUGACGGCCACCGGUUGAGAGAUCCGUAAUCAGAGCCGAGGAAAGUCCGUUGAAGACGAGAGACGACGGUGAAAUGACAACGAGACAGAGACGGCCGUGAUUUGUGUUGUUCUUAACGAAGGUGGAUACACUCCCUAAGCAAACGAGGACGCGGCGGUUGCGACGCAGCUGAAGAAUGAUCUGAAAAGUGGAGGAAAAAGCAUAAACAGUGGAGAGAGAUUAUGGAGCAAUCAGAGCUUGGGAGCAGCAGAAUCCAGCCUAUUUCAUAUGCUUCUUCCAGAUGUAGCAGAUCGAAUCUGAUGCCGGGAGUGAGAAGCUCUGGGGAGCAGUCUCAAAGAACCGCCGCGAAGCACAUCAUUUUCAACAGGUGACCUCGUCUCUGCAUCACCAUCUUUGUGCUAUAACUUUGGACAAUGAGAGACCAUUGUUUCCUAGUCUCAGCCCACUAGCUUUGGUGAACAAACAUAGAAACUACUCAUUAAAAACAAAGCUAUUAAAGGAGCUUCAUUAUCAAUGAACAUCUCAUAGUCGUAUGGAAUCUGGUGUAGAUGUAAUUUUGAUCUCGAGGAAUCACGAAUUGGCCGGAGCUUACUAUGCAUUUUGUUGGAUUUAGAAUGAAAAAGUUAACAAACAAAAUAUGCUCUACACAUGUACGAUGGAAUUUGAUGUACACAUGUACGAUGUAUUUUUGAUAUACAGAAACCAGGUGUAGAUCUUUUGAAUCUCUUAUCAAA